UAUCGGACUUGUUAUACACUCCAAAGUCUCAUCUGAAAGCACGCACAGCAAACUCAAAACCUAAAGCCACCAAAACCCUACCGCUUACCUUAACAAAUCUACCUCUUUCCUCUUUUCACAUCAAUGGCGCUCCCGGUUUCAGUAGACAAAGUGAAGGAUUAUCUGUUCUCACAGUAUUACGACGAAGCCAAAUGGGAAUUGAAUAAGAAACUGUUGCGGGCAGCAGGCCUGUUUGGAGGUUCCAUUCUUGUGAUGCGCAAUUUUGGUGAUAUCAUGGCUGUCUGAAGAUAUUGCAUCAUGCUGCUGCAUUUUAAGUUCCUGAAUGUUUUUCUUCUAAUCUAGAUUUUCAUGAAACAAUGGUAGCUUUACUUUUGGAAUUUACCUAUAGAAAUAUGAUGUAAUGUGAGGCAAAAGGAUUGCUGCAGUGAAGAAUCAAACAUGAUGGUACAGUGAUCAGAUUCGGUUAUAAUUAUGUUUCAUAUGGUACAGUGAUCAGAUUCGGUUAUAAUUAUGUUUCAUAUGGUACAGUGAUCAGAUUCGGUUAUAAUUAUGUUUCAUAUGGUACAGUGAUCAGAUUCGGUUAUAAUUAUGUUUCAUCUUCUUCUUUCUUA